UACAGAGGGUGCAAGCGUUGUUCGGAAUUAUUGGGCGUAAAGGGCGCGUAGGCGGUGCUAUAAGUCUGUGGUGAAAUCUCUGGGCUCAACUCAUAGUCUGCAUCGGAAACUGCCGGGCUUGAGUGUGGGAGAGGUGAGUGGAAUUCCUGGUGUAGCGGUGAAAUGCGUAGAUAUCAGGAGGAACACCUGUGGCGAAGGCGGCCGGCUGGGGGUGCCCUGACGCUGAGGCGCGAAAGCGUGGGGAGCGAACCGG
rnacentral:rRNA from 1 species